GUCGCCCAGCCUCAGGCGCGGCAGGCUUUGGCCACCCAUCCUUGCGGAAGUGGGGCAGCGACCCGAGCCGGUCACGCCUUCAAGUUCACCCGCCUUUCUCCUCUGGCUUACGUUCCAGGGCGGGUCUCCAACGUCCUGAGGAAGUGGGGAAUCUUCGCAGUACCUCGUGCGUGCAGUUUCCCUCAGCUCCUUCAAAAGCUACGAGGAACUGCAGGGAUUAAGAGACUCCACUAGGUGGCCACACAGACCACCUGUUUGUUCCUGUUGGAGACAAGCUGGUGGCAGACACCAGACCCUCCCCAGCUACUCCUGUGUGUGGUGUGUGUGUCUGUGUGUGUGCGUUUAGGAGCGUGCCCAGUGGAGAGGAUGAGGAGGCAAAGAUGGACGUUUAAGAAAAAUAAUCAACAUCAAAAUACCUAAAUUUAUAAAACAGAGCCAGGACACACCAUCUGAGACGUGACCACUCCUGGGGCAGAAAGAGCAGUGGACCCGCCGAAGACCAGAGACUGAAAUACUCAAAUGGAAAAGAAGAAAAGAAGUGUUCCGAAACCCAGGACAAGAAGAUUGUGGAAAAACUCAGGAUAUAAAGGAGAGAAGACACUCAGUGAAGAAGGUGCUGUGAGGACAGAGGCAGAGGUCAUAGUGAUGCAUCUGCAGGCCAAGGAAUGCCAAGAGUUGCAGCAGCCACCAGAAGCUAGGAGAGAGGCAUGGAGCAGAUUUUCCCUCAGAGCUACCAGAAAGAACCAACUUUGUUAACACCUUGACCUUGGACUUCUGACCUCCAGACCUGUGAGAGAAUAAAUUUC